AGCAGCCGCGGUAAUUCCAGCUCCAAUAGCGUAUAUUAAAGUUGUUGCAGUUAAAAAGCUCGUAGUUGAAUUUUGGGUCUGGCCGGGCGGUCCGCCCUCUGGGUGAGCACUGUUCCGACGCCGGGCCUAUCCUUCUGGUGAGUCGGCAUGUCCUUUAUUGGGUGUGUCGGGGAACCAGGACCAUUACCUUGAGAAAAUUAGAGUGUUCAAAGCAGGCGUAUGCUCGGAUACAUUAGCAUGGAAUAAUGAAAUAGGACGCGUGGUGCUAUUUUGUUGGUUUCUAGAACCGCCGUAAUGAUUAAUAGGGAUAGUUGGGGGCAUUAGUAUUCAAUUGUCAGAGGUGAAAUUCUUGGAUUUAUUGAAGACUAACUUCUGCGAAAGCAUUUGCCAAGGAUGUUUUCAUUAAUCAAGAACGAAAGUUAGGGGAUCGAAGACGAUCAGAUACCGUCGUAGUCUUAACCAUAAACUAUGCCGACUAGGAAUCGGGCGAUGUUAUUCUCAUGACUCGCCCGGCGU
rnacentral:rRNA from 1 species